rnacentral:lncRNA from 1 species
CUCAAGAAAAACCUUUAAAAUUUCAUUACUCACAUCUCAAACUGUUCUACACAUAUAAUUCUUGAUGAGAUAUUCCACAUCUUCAAUCAAUAAUCUCAUCAAAUCGAUCACUAAACAAUCAAUGGGAACCAAAAAUGUGGAAAUUAAUGUACAAUAUGCAUCUUAAAUGACUGAAUUCAUAAAUUCUCAUCAUUCAUCAUCUUUGGACUCGGUAGCAUUAAAGGAGCCUUCUUCAUCAAAGGAGCUUUCAUCAUCAAAGGAGCCUUCUUCAUCAAUGGAGCCUUCUUCAUCAACAUCAGCAGCAUGAACACCCACAGCAUCUGUGGUAUCACGAGGUGAAUACACAAUUUUUUUUAUAUCUGAACUAUCAUCCAAAACAAACACAUCAUGAAAUUCUUUAGGCAUAUCAAUCUAUACCAUAAUAAGACUAUAAGACUGAGCUAGUUUGAAUACAAAUCAAAUUAAAUCACAAAUCUAAUCUAUCUAUACUAAUAGAAAAAG